GAGUUCGUUGUGCAUCUACGCUGCGAAGAAAUACGGAAGAGCCAAGUGUCUGUUCACUAUGAGCGGGGAAGCAGGUUCGUUGUGCGUUCCACCAUCGGCCUUUCUGCAGCUGACUCGCCCGCGCCCUCGACGCAACCACUCUCCCUCGAGGCCGCGCGUCACAAAAAGAGCAGAUAACGACACAGCGGAGACGCCAUGUUGGAA